rnacentral:rRNA from 1 species
UACGAAGGGGGCUAGCGUUGCUCGGAAUCACUGGGCGUAAAGCGCACGUAGGCGGAUCUUUUAAGUCAGGGGUGAAAUCCUGGAGCUCAACUCCAGAACUGCCUUUGAUACUGAGGAUCUUGAGUCCGGGAGAGGUGAGUGGAACUCCGGAGUGUAGAGGUGAAAUUCGUAGAUAUUCGGAAGAACACCAGUGGCGAAGGCGGCUCACUGGCCCGGUACUGACGCUGAGGUGCGAAAGCGUGGGGAGCAAACAGG